GGGGAAUUUUCCGCAAUGGGCGAAAGCCUGACGGAGCAAUACCGCGUGAGGGAGGAAGGCUCUUGGGUUGUAAACCUCUUUUCUCAGGGAAUAAAAAAAUGAAGGUACCUGAGGAAUAAGCAUCGGCUAACUCCGUGCCAGCAGCCGCGGUAAUACGGAGGAUGCAAGCGUUAUCCGGAAUGAUUGGGCGUAAAGCGUCCGCAGGUGGCUAUGUAAGUCUGCUGUUAAAGAGCAAGGCUCAACCUUGUAAAGGCAGUGGAAACUACAUAGCUAGAGUGCGUUCGGGGCAGAGGGAAUUCCUGGUGUAGCGGUGAAAUGCGUAGAGAUCAGGAAGAACACCGGUGGCGAAAGCGCUCUGCUAGGCCGCAACUGACACUGAGGGACGAAAGCUAGGGGAGCGAAUGGGAUUAGAUACCCCAGURGUCCUAGCCGUAAACGAUGGAUACUAGGCGUUGCUUGUAUCGACCCGAGCAGUGCCGUAGCUAACGCGUUAAGUAUCCCGCCUGGGGAGUACGCACGCAAGUGUGAAACUCAAAGGAAUUGACGGGGGCCCGCACAAGCGGUGGAGUAUGUGGUUUAAUUCGAUGCAACGCGAAGAACCUUACCAAGGCUUGACAUGUCGCGAAUCCCUUUGRAAGGAGGGAGUGCCUUCGGGAGCGCGAACACAGGUGGUGCAUGGCUGUCGUCAGCUCGUGUCGUGAGAUGUUGGGUUAAGUCCCGCAACGAGCGCAACCCUCGUUUUUAGUUGCCAGCACUUCGGGUGGGCACUCUAGAGAGACUGCCGGUGACAAACCGGAGGAAGGUGGGGAUGACGUCAAGUCAGCAUGCCCCUUACGCCUUGGGCUACACACGUACUACAAUGCUACGGACAGAGGGCAGCAAGCAUGCGAAUGCAAGCUAAUCCCGGAAACCGUAGCUCAGUUCAGAUCGCAGGCUGCAACUCGCCUGCGUGAAGGAGGAAUCGCUAGUAAUUGCAGGUCAGCAUACUGCAGUGAAUUCGUUCCCGGGCCUUGUACACACCGGCCCGUCACACCAUGGAAGCUGGUCACGCCCGAAGUCGUUACCCCAACCGCAAGGAGGGGGAUGCCUAAGGCAGGACUGGUGACUGGGGUGAAGUCGUAACAAGGUAGCCGUACCGGAAGGUGUGGCUGGAUCACCUCCU
rnacentral:rRNA from 1 species